GAUGAACGCUGGCGGCGUGCCUAAUACAUGCAAGUCGAGCGAACAGACGAGGAGCUUGCUCCUCUGACGUUAGCGGCGGACGGGUGAGUAACACGUGGCUAACCUACCUAUAAGACUGGGAUAACUUCGGGAAACCGGAGCUAAUACCGGAUAAUAUAUUGAACCGCAUGGUUCAAUAGUGAAAGGCGGUUUUGCUGUCACUUAUAGAUGGAUCCGCGCCGCAUUAGCUAGUUGGUAAGGUAACGGCUUACCAAGGCGACGAUGCGUAGCCGACCUGAGAGGGUGAUCGGCCACACUGGAGCUGAGACACGGUCCAGACUCCUACGGGAGGCAGCAGUAGGGAAUCGUCCGCAAUGGGCGAAAGCCUGACGGAGCAACGCCGCGUGAGUGAUGAAGGUCUGCGGAUCGUAAAACUCUGUUAUGAGGGAAGAACAAAUGUGUAAGUAACUAUGCACGUCUUGACGGUACCUAAUCAGAAAGCCACGGCUAACUACGUG
rnacentral:rRNA from 1 species